AUAACAAUCAUAAAUACUUUCCCAAGGUCAGGAAUAUUUGUGUCAGGAAAACCUUAUUUUACUAGAGAACAGGAUGUUCUGAUAAACUCAAUAUUCUGAGAAUUAUCAUAGGUAUCUAUCAAGGUUCCCACUGUGAAGCCUUCUGCUCGAUUUCUGCUGAGAAAAGGGUAAAUAAAUCUAUCCUCACUGCUAUUAAACUGUCCCCUCCCAAGGGACCCACAUAUUGGCUCAAUGGUUCACAAAUUGUGAGAGAUAGAGAUUUAAAUUAUAAAGGAAAAGAAGGGGUCUUUUACUAUUGAGACUUUUCGAAGUUGUUCCAGUGUGUUCACUGUAGGGCUUUUUCUGCACUGACCCUACUUUUGUUUUGUUUGGUGCUUGUUUUUGUCUUCCUGAGGUCUACUUCUGGCAGCUCUAGAAUUUUUGGUUUUAGUUACUAGCUGGACUCCUGCACUAGUCAGUUUUUGGUUGGCCUCAUCAACAUUAUUAUAUUUUUGGUGGAGAGCAGGGCAUACUCCCUUGCCUUAGCUAAGAGCCAGUCCUGACCCAAAGAGUUCAUCUCUGGAGGCUGAGUCUAGGUGCCUACUUGCAUGUCUCAUGUGUUUACCUAAGAGUACUCUUACUUUCUGAGACCUUAAUUAGCAUCUUGUGAACAACAACAAACAGAUGACUUCUUUUCCUUUUUUUUAGCUUUUUAGGGCCACACCUGAGGCAUAUGGAGGUUCCCAGCCUAGGGGUCGUAUUAGUGCUGUAACCAUAGGCCUACACCACAGCCACAGCCACAGCAAUCCCAGAUCCAAGCCUCAUCUGCGACCUACACCGCAGCUCAUGGCAAUGCUGGAUCCUUAACCCACUGAGUGAUGCCGGGGAUCGAACUUGCAUCCUCACAGUUACUAGUCAGAUUCAUUUCAGGUAAGCCACGAGAGGAACUCCAAGAUGCCUUUUUUCCUACUAUAGUAAUCAAAUAUUUAUGAGAAAAAUAUCAAGUACAUGUUUAUGGUUCUUAUUAUUACACACUAAUUUGACUUUCAAAAUGAUAAGAAAACCAGGAAGUUGUAAACAGUUGAUUCAGUUAUGACAAUAUUGUUCCAUUACUCCCAGAAGAAGCAGCCUCAAAAGCGUGGUUUUGUUUUUGUUUGUUUGUAUGUUUUUGUUAGCAGAGAAAAGUUUAUUGAGGGGACAAGCCAAGAGAAUAGGUUGCUCAUGCUCAAAACCCCCAAAUUCCCUGAUGGCUUGCAGCGGGGUUGGGGGAGUGUGGAUUUUUUUGUAAUUUAGAAUCUCAUUCAGAUACCUAGUCUUGUCAUCUCUCAAGAAUGACUGGUUAGUGACUCUUGAAGUCUUGAGCAUGCAGGAGUUGGGUCUCAUAGACUUUGAAGUCAAACAUAGUCCUUGGUUUUUGUCCAGCUGAGGUGUCCUGAGCUGAAUGCGUUCCUUGCAUUUUGAGGUCUGGUUAUUUUCUCUAUAAAUGAGGAUCCAUCUACCUACUUCAUAACAUUGUUGUAAAGACUGAAGAGUCUAAAGUAUAAACACACACAUAUAAGGUGGAGUAAAAAUAACUAUGAUUAUCCUAAGAAUGAUGGUGAAGCAGAAUUUAUAGAAAGAGAUAUGUUUGCUAAGAGACUCAGAUUCUUGUAACUCAUAGAAGCCAAAUUAUACCAAAAAUCUUUUUGUGCAAACACAGAAGAAAAGGAAAGACAAUGACGUCGGUAUGAGGAUUUUAAAUUAGUCAGGUUACAACAACCUAAUGUUCUCAUCUUACAAGAUGAAUAUAGUUGCCUCCAGGACCACACAGGUGGAUUGGGGGAGAAAGGCACCUGUGAUCUGAUGCUGAUGUGAGUAGCAGUGGCAAUGCCUUCCAGAGCUCUCCCUGACACAGUCUUUAAUUACUCUGAGCCCUCAGUCUGAGCCUAGGCAUGUCUCCCUGGUCUUUGAAUCAUACUCUCAUUAAGAUAGUGGCAUAUUUCUUUUACAGUCUAUUUUUGGGGACAAACAGCUCUGUGUACACUUGAAUGCAAAUACAGUUGGCAGACUCAGGAUGGCAAUUAGAUUUCCUAUUAUUCACACACGAAAAAGUGCAAUGACUGUAGAGCAUCUAAGAAGGUUCUAGUCACGUCCACUUAAGCAGGAAGGAGCAGCAUGGUUGAUAAAUGAAGUGUAGGUGAGAAGGUGGGCAGGGCUCAGUGACAAAUCUUUGUUGACACUGCUUUAGACUCUAUGCUAAAGCUGUGGCUCUUAAAGUAAAAGAUUGAACAUGCCUGAUAAUUGUUUGCAUCAACCUUUUUCUGAGGAAAGUAGGAAGCAUAACAUGGAACAGCUCCAGUUUGGCGGGCAUGGGGGAUUUGGUCCUCCCUCAUCCAUUAUCAGCUUUCUUUGCACAUCUAGAAGCAGACCAACUCCUAGAAGCUAAUUUUUCGAAUGACCAUUUUGCCAAAGGCAAAGGUGUUCAAUGGCUAGUUUACCAAACACAAUUUUAAAAUCUAUUUAAAAAGAAAGGAGUUCUCUAAUAGCUCAGCAGUUUAAGGACUUAGCAUUGUCACUGCUGUGGCUCUGGUUACUGCUGUAGCACAGGUUUGAUCCCUGGCCUGGAAACAUCUGUAUGCCACAGGCAUAGCCAAAAAAAACCUAUUUUCACUUUUGCCUGGGUAACAGCAUGCUAAGGCAUCUUCUGCCCCUGUUUCCUGUUGCUGCCAGCUGAAGAGUGAGAGAAUGAGGGGCAGAGACCCUGGAGCCUGGACACAAGGAAGAUGUUUCAUGUAGAUGUUUAUUGAAUAUGAAAAUUGAGUAUAAAGUGAAUUAUGCAGGAGGAGGUUAUAUUGAUAAGAUUUCUUCACAUAUUCAAUAAAUACAUCUUGAACAUCAGGAAUUAUUACCAGGGUCUGCUUGCAGGAUUGAUUUUCAUCUUGCAAAAUGCAUUCAUAAGACUGCACCCUAUUUGAGAACAUAGUUUUGUCAUUUCACUCUUCUAAAGCUCCUACAUGUCUCUCUCCACCCUACAGCUUUUCAGUUCUCCUUUCUCUGCUCUUUCUUCAUCUUUUCCUCUCUGCACUUUUCCUUUGGCUGGAAUAGUGGGGACUGUGAUAGAAACAAACUCAAUGUUCCUUAAAGUGCUGUAAUGAGGACACGAUCAAAACCCAUGGACCACAACGAAAUAGCAGAAACGUAUAAGAAAAUGUGAUGAAUCAGUUGUUUGGUGAAAUGGCCUUUCCACUAAUUGACUUUAGGCAAAUUGCCCAUUCGGCAAAUUGGCUUCUGGAGAGUUCACCUGACCCCGUGUAUUUUGGGAACAGAUGGACUGGUGAAAACAUAGAGCUUGGAAGAGGUUCAUUUUUGUAUAUUAUUUGCUUUGGGGACCUGCGGUAAAAUGUAGUUCUGUGCAAGUAACACUAACAUGAAUCAGCUGCUCAUUCACCUGCACGUGGAGGUUCCAUAGUUCCAUCCAGAACUGAUGACUGAACUUGAGCAGUGUCUUUGGGUUCACUGGGAACCUCAUCAGUUUUAUUCAACUGAGAAAUUAAGAAGAGUGAGCCUGGCAAGGCAUAUGUGACAGGUAAGAACAAAAUCACUUUUAAAGGAGCUGGCAACAAAGAUGAUUUCAGAGCCUAAAUACCAUGUUUGGCUUAUUUUUUUUUUCAAUAUGAAGCAUCAAGUGAUUUUUGUUUAGUGGUCUUUAUUGAAAUACCAGUGCCAUAGUUCAGCUUCAACAAGUUGCCAUGCGUUAAAUGCUUUAUUUUAUUUCUCUUAUUUAAUUUCUUUUCAAAAACCGUAGGAAGCAAACACUUUUAUUGCUCCCUGUUUACAGGGGAAAAAUGAACUUAGUGAAGUGAGUUUGCUUAUAGUCUUCCUGCCCGUAAUUGAAGAUUCAGAGUUUGAACUAAGUAGCAUCCCUUCAUCUAGACCAGCACUGUCCAGUAAAUAUACAAUGUGAACUACAUAUGUAAUUUUACAUUUUCUAGGAACCAGAUUUAAAAAUGAAAAAGUAGUAGGUGAAAUUAAUCUAAUAGUAUAUCUUAUUUAAUUCAGUAUAACCCAAACACCAUAAUUUCAAUAGGAAAUCACUUUAAAAUGUUAAUGAGAUAUUUUUUAUUUUUCUUCUUACUAAACCUUUGAAAUCCACUAUGAUUUUAUACUUACUGCACAGUACAUCUCAAUUCAGACAAGCUAUGUUUCAAGUGCCAGUAGCCAUACAUAGUAAGUGUCUAUCACUGGAUGGUGCCCUUCUCAAAGAGCGAUCCAUGGACCAGCAGCUUAGCUAUUACCUGCAAGCUUGUUAGGCCUUCUAGCUCUCAGACCCAUCUAUUUCAAUUGAAUCAGAACCUUUGGGUUAAUUCGAUGCACAGGGACAUCGUGUGCAUGUUAGAAUCUGAGAAGUGCUGCUGGCUCAAGAGCCUGUGCUCUUUGCCAUUUUACUAUUGCUGGUUCAGGAUUCUUAUUUGCUGCCUCAUUGUGAGACAGGCUGAGACCUGAGACCUGGGACCCUUUGUUGUAGUGCCUACACUUGGACAAGUGUCUCCUUGAGCAACAAAAUAUAAAGAAACUAUAUGGGACUAAAAAUAACUGUGCGUUUGCAAUUGGGGCAAAUUACAGACAACAGGGAGUUCCAGUUGUGUCUCAGCAGGUUAAGAAGCUGACUAAUAUCCAUGAGGAUGCAGGUUCCAUCCCUGGCCUCACUCAGUGGGUUAAGGAUCCGGUGCUACCAAGAGGUGUGGUAUAGGUCGCAGAUGCAGCUUGGAUCUGGCAUUGCUGUGGCUGUGGCAUAGGCCAGCAGUUGCAACCCAGAUUCAGCCCCUAGCCUGGGAACUUCCAUACUGUGCAGCUAUGGCCCUGAAAAGAAAAAAAGAAUUAUGUAAAACAAGAUACAAAUAGACCUACUAGCCCCAAUAAAGCCUUGCCUGAAUUUCUCAUCUAGCCUUUUAUCAACUUCUAUUGAUUAAGGAAGGCAAAGAACCCUGGUCAGUAACAACAGCACAUAAGAAUGGAAGUAUCUCCCAGAAAUGGUAUGAGAAUUAAAUGGACCAACGUCAGCCCCAACUGAUCCAUGCAGCCAUCAUACACCACAUCAGAGAUUUUGACCCAAGUGAGUUAUAAAGAGCAAAUAGUUUUCAAAGUACUCCCUCCUCGAUUUCCCACUUGUGGAAACAAUAGCAAGCACGUCCUAAGGGUAAAGGAACUGCUUACAGUUCUUCACACUGUGGAUGCUCUGAGCCCCCAGGAAAAUGUGAGAAGGAGUGAAAGUUGGAAUCUAGCCAGCCCAGCACUGCCUCUUGAUGGCCCCACCAGAUGUCGGAAUCAGCCCCAGCAGAAGGGCCAGGUGUUCUUUUAAAUUUGAAAUUACAAGUAGAAACAUAGACAGUUCUUUGUCUCUUGGAAAGGAAAGGAAUUAAGAAGGAAGUCAUUGAGAAGAUGGAGAAGGAGAGGCUGUGGACCUACCUUGUAUGGAAGCUCCUCAGGCAAAUCCCCACAGGAAGCCAUUUCCCUUUCCCACUGUGAGACGGAAACAGUUUCCUGGCCUCAGACCUGUGCCCUCUUUUCCUAACUGCAGAAGGAUCCUCAGCCUAUCGAAGUGGACAACCGCCUCCUUGGCAAAAAAAGACACCCACACCUCACUGGGGAACUGUUUCCCCUGGGGUUUCUCUAGACAAUGACAGCACCUUAAAAAUAUCUGCAGGAGUUCCUAUUGCGGCACAGUGAAAACGAUUCCAACUAGGAACCGUGAAGUUGGGGAUUCAACCCCUGGCCGCAUUCAGUGGGUUAAGGAUCUAGCAUUGCCAUGCGCUAUGAUGUAGGUUCCAGAUGCAGCUCUGAUCUGUGCUGCUGUGGCUGUGGCGCAGGCCGGCAGCUGUAGCUCUCAUUCGACCCUUAGUCUGGGAACCUCUGUAUGCCAUGGGU
ensembl:lncRNA